ACGGGUGAGUAACGCGUGGGAAUCUACCCAUCUCUGCGGAAUAGCUCUGGGAAACUGGAAUUAAUACCGCAUACGCCCUACGGGGGAAAGAUUUAUCGGGGAUGGAUGAGCCCGCGUUGGAUUAGCUAGUUGGUGGGGUAAAGGCCUACCAAGGCGACGAUCCAUAGCUGGUCUGAGAGGAUGAUCAGCCACAUUGGGACUGAGACACGGCCCAAACUCCUACGGGAGGCAGCAGUGGGGAAUAUUGGACAAUGGGCGCAAGCCUGAUCCAGCCAUGCCGCGUGAGUGAUGAAGGCCUUAGGGUUGUAAAGCUCUUUCACCGGUGAAGAUAAUGACGGUAACCGGAGAAGAAGCCCCGGCUAACUUCGUGCCAGCAGCCGCGGUAAUACGAAGGGGGCUAGCGUUGUUCGGAAUUACUGGGCGUAAAGCGCACGUAGGCGGAUAUUUAAGUCAGGGGUGAAAUCCCAGAGCUCAACUCUGGAACUGCCUUUGAUACUGGGUAUCUUGAGUAUGGAAGAGGUAAGUGAAAUUGCGAGUGUAGAGGUGAAAUUCGUAGA
rnacentral:rRNA from 1 species